UCUUCUCCACUCCCCCACAAUCGAGCUCCCCAAUCCACUCUUUCCCUACCCAAUUUCCACCUCCACCGCCUCCCUCCUCCAGCUUCUCCGACGGAUUCGCCAGUCCGGCCGUCCGCCCCGACGGCAGGGAUGACCGAGGGGUCCUGCCUCUGUGUCUACAAGGGGUUUGCCGCUCCCGCCGCCAAGGCCACGGGCCGAUGCGUCGCGAAACGGUCGCAUCUCAGCUCCCCCAUGCCAGUCGCCCUGCACCGAGCAGAGCUCCCUGCUGCAUGACCUCCCCAUGGCUGCCGGCCUCUCCCCGGCCCGAGCCGCUUGUGGAUCCACCGGUCUCGCCCCCAUCUUGCCCAUGGCUGCGUGACCGCGGCCGCGGAACGACAUCGCGGCGGUCACGAGUCUUCAAAGGGGAACGACGCGAUGUCGUGCCAUGCCGGCAAGCAGCAACCUCGAAGGACUUGCCAGUUCGCCGGAAUCGUGGUUCCAGCGGCGACAUAGGAAGGGGGGCGGUGGAGGAGACCGAAGCGGCCGGCGAGUUCUCUUGAAGUCCGCUCGCGCCUCACCGUGAUUUUGCCCAGCGUGCUCCGGCGUGUACCACCAACCGGCGGUGCGGCGCACAGACCCGCUGCUGCUGAGGCAUGUCCGCCGCCGCCAAGGCGGCAUAUAUAGCAGCAAGCACGACCGCACGGAGGUAGGCUUGCAGGCGGAGCGGCCCAGCAAGGUUGGUUCAACACGCGAUGGCGAUGCACGGCCGCCUGCAUCUCUCUCCGGCAGUUACUGGUUCUGAGUUCCCUACUUUUUUUUUGCCCCGCCAUUCUUAUAUUCGCUAGACUGGUUGUGGAACUUUCUUUCCGUCUCAGCCAUGGUAGAAUCAACAGGAGCAUUCAGCGCAUCAUGACUCUGGUGAAGUCCAAACAUAUUAUGUGCUCAGAUUUGUGAUUUUGGUGCCUAAUAAGUGUUUGUUGUUAUGUCUACAAGAACCUAAUCAGUUAUUUUCAGAUUUCUUAUUAGUCUAUGUGGGCUAGAGUAAUGUAUUCAGCUGCCCAACAUGUGGUGUAUCUGGUUAUUGAUUCAAUUUCUCCGGGUGGUGCGCUGAAUGCUCCUGCUAAUUCUACCGCAGGCCUUUCUUUUAUUGUGCCGGCUGGUGGUAAUGGUUUGUCUGGUUUAUGCUUUAGUUUUUACCAUUCAUGUUUUUAAAGGCUUUUUGGUGAUGCGUUGUUGUCUCUCGGAAUACAGGUAUUGGGAAAUGCGGCAAAACUUAUAUGAGCUGGAUUUCAAUGUUGUUGCCGUGAGGUGUAACUUCGCCAUUCCAGGAAGAAUUGGUGGGUUGUCUCCGCUCCUGAGACGACCCAGCACUUUCGAGCGAGAAGAAGCUCAUAUGUUCCCAUCACUUGCUGAAAAUCCAACAUAAAACUAUUUGUCUCCGCUCCUGACACUCAUGCCAUGCUAUUAUUUUGGCUGACACGUUUCUUUGGUGUGUUUAAAUGUUGAUGCCAGAAUCAUUACCAAUGCUGCGAUAUCUGGCUGAGGGACUGUCAAAGAGGUUUCUUUAGUUGUGGUCACCAGAUUUGAAGAAGAAGCAGAGUAGUUCUCAGCGGUGUCUUGGUCGAUAUACUGAAUCUUGUGCUGCAACACUAAACCUGAAGCAGAAACAGAAUAGUUUUUGACGGUUUCUUGGCAGAUACACUAUUCUUAGAAACCUGGGGCAUUGAGUUGAGGUGAAGAGGGGAAUAGGAAUGGGAAAUGUAUAUUCUUAGAUACACUACAUAGGAUUGCUGCCACCAAGAUAAUAAAUUCUAGCAUGUAUAUAGCUUAUCAGAGAGAGGUUUAUCAUCUUAACUAAGGAGGAUAGUAAUGUCAUGUGAGGUAAUAAACUAAUGUUCUUUGCUGAUUAUGUUCGUUUUUACUUUUUCUCUAGGUCCCUACAUGGAUUCUUGGGAUGAGGACUACUGAUGUUUGGUCGUCACUGGACCAUUGAUGGUGAUGAUUUUUAUCUGCUUGGUCUCAUAUGGACAAUGGGUUUUGGUCACGUUUGUCUGGACAUAAUUCUUGGUCGUCGCCUAUUUGUUUUUCGGGUUUCGAUCUUUUCGCCUUCUUCUGAACAUCAGCUGGUUUGUCUACUCCUGUCCAUGUUAGUUCUACUUAUGGACAUGCUUAUGAGGCUAGAGCAUCUUGGUCUACGCCUGGGGCUGCUUCUGCCCAGUUUUGCUACUAUGAAAGUUACUCAUGCUUUAUCGAGAUGUCAUCCGUAUCAUAUGGUUCCAUGUAAACUUAACAUGCGUAUUCUCAAAUAAUCAGUUUUUCCAACUGCAGUU